UACGGAGGGUGCAAGCGUUGUCCGGAUUUAUUGGGUUUAAAGGGUGCGUAGGCGGGUCUUUAAGUCAGUGGUGAAAUGCUUCAGCUCAACUGGAGACGUGCCAUUGAUACUGAAGGUCUUGAGUGAAGUCGAGGUAGGCGGAAUUGAUGGUGUAGCGGUGAAAUGCAUAGAUAUCAUCAAGAACACCGAUAGCGUAGGCAGCUUACUAGACUUCAACUGACGCUGAUGCACGAAAGCGUGGGGAGCGAAC
rnacentral:rRNA from 1 species